rnacentral:lncRNA from 1 species
GGAGUCUUAUCAAUACACAAAUCAUUAUAAUCAACAUCAGGGGCAACAAGUUCUCUCAGAGUUCUUUGGUCAGCCAUGUUAAACUCAAUAGAAAAGAAAAAGAGUCUUAUCAAUACACAAAUCAUUAUAAUCAACAUCAGGGGCAACAAGUUCUCUCAGAGUUCUUUGGUCAGCCAUGUUAAACUCAAUAGAAAAGAAAAAAAAUCAACAAACAAUG